UGGCUCAGAUGGUAAAGCGUCUGCCUGUAAUGCGGGAGACCCAGGUUUGAUCCCUGG
rfam:Ovis aries breed Texel chromosome 10, whole genome shotgun sequence.